UUUUUUUUAACGUUCAGGGGGCUGGGCCCCCCCUGUCAUAGGCCCCAGGGGCCGUGGCGGGUUGGUCACUAGCGGGUGCGGGCAACGGGUGCAACGCCCGACCCGAACGGGCGCACGCCCAGGUGCAAGCGGACCCGGGAGGGCACCGGAACAGGGGAGGCCGGUGGCCACGGCGUGGCCAUGGCCGGAGCGGGGCGAGGCCGCGGUGGUGCGCGGGCGGCCGCCGGAGGCCGUAUGGGCGGCAGCCGGAGGCGGCGCUCGGUUGCGGCCCAGCAGGAGCUGCGGCAAUGGCCGCGGGGAGGCCAGGCCGGAGCCGCAGGGGGAGGCGGGCGGUGACCGGAGGUGGCGCAGAGGGGCGAGGCCGAGAACGCUGCCUACGCUAACAGCAGGCAGUGGCCGGGGUUCGGUCCCGCGGCAAAGGGCGCCAGGGACGGCCUAAUCGGGCAAGGGGAGGGGGAAAAUGGACGGCGGCUCGUAGUGGAGCUUGUUGAAGUCUCGACGAGGCCGAAGUUCGUUGGGGAGGGGCGGAUCGAGCGGCGACGACCGACAGAUGCAUCCGGGAGAGGAGGUCGAGGGCGACGGCUUUGAGGCCCCCCCGGCCCGGUCCAGUGCCAUGAUGAGGCACCCGGGAUGGGCAACGGCCGACGAGCGCCGGGCUGCGAACCUGGCCCCGACGCGGCCAGGCGCGCGGGCAAGGAGGCAAGGGCGUGCGAGGCGAUGGCGAGCCGCGAGAUGGCGGCUGGUCUCCGGCAAGGGCGGCCGGCGCGAGGUGCGGCAGAGGAGGUUGGCGAGGUCGCCGACGAGAGGUAGGAGGCGCACGGGGCGGUGACGGCGACGGGGCCGUGCCCCGAUCCAGAUCGGGUCGGGGGAGGAGACGAGGGAGCGAGAGGGGUUGUGGGGGCGCGAGUGGGAGGGUGUGGCGCUAGGGUUUGGUGGUGGAGCGGGUUAGCAGCCCAGCGGGGGUUCGGCGCGGGUGGGCUGGCCAGAUGGCCUAGCUGGGCCAAGGCCCAGCGGGGGGAGGGGGUUCUUUGUUUUUUUUGUUUUAGUUCUGUUUUCUGUUUUGUAUUUUCUUUUCUUUUACUUAUUUUCAUUUUCUGUUUUAUUUAUUUUAGAGUAUUUCAGCAUUUUCUAAAAAUGUGUUUUCUUCACUAUAAUUACCUGUGCAAUAUUUGGCACAAUCCGAACAUUUUUGUCCUAAUGUUUGAAAACUUUGGUUGUUUGACAAAAAUUCAAAUUUCAAUUCGAAUCGUUUUGAACUAACGUGAGAUUAGCGACAGUAACAGAGGUGACGUGGCAUCUUUAGCAGAGGUUUACUGUAGCUUAAUUAUCCGGGCGUCACAAUUCUCCUCCACUACAAGAAUUCUCGUCCCGAGAUUUAAGAGGCGGAGUAAAGGGGAAAGACUAGGUUACGAAAUUCUAACGAUUCUUCUUGGCCUUGGUUGCCCUUUCGAAGAGGUUGAUCCCUUUCGUUGAUGUCUUCAUUUCUCUGCUUCAAGUCACCAUGAUCAAGUCGUCAUCCUUUCUUCGGGAACUCCAUCGUACUUACGAAAGAAUAAAGGGUGGUUAUUCCGGAAGAACGGACCUCUGCAAGGUUGACUACCUGGUAGCUAACAUCGGGGGAAGGUGGCGGAAAGUAACUCUCGAAUGGAAAUUUAAGACAAUAUCGAGAGCAAAGUAAGGAGGUAUCGUGGGGAAGUUUCGAGCGGGCAGGCAAUCGUUCGAUGCUUGAAGGGUUCAGAGCAACGGGAAUAAGUAUUGUGUCUGAUACCAAAAUUGAUGAUCUCACGAAAGGUGGCAUGUGAAUCACAUACGAAGCCAAGCGUGAGGAAUAACCUUGGGAACAGGGGUGUACAAGAGAGUCAGGUUUCGAUCCUGUGGAACUGUGGGUUAUGGGCCCACCAUGUGGUUUUUUUUAUAGGAGCAGUGACAUCUUGCACGGUCAUGAUAGCAAGGCAUGUCAGAGAGUACCCUGCCAGUUAUGUCGGCAACACGUUGGUACCAAGGGCGAGGGACGAAGAGAACCAAUUUUCCUGCUCGUUGAAACGAGGCGGACCAAUAGGCAAAGUUCUCAUCCAUCGGUGGCUACCGAAAUGUCAUCAACGAAAGUAACAUGGUCUACUGAGAGAGUGGUACAACGAGGUGCUCAACUAAGCAGGGAAUUAUCUCUACUCAGCUAAGUCAGAUUACAAGAAAGGUUAAACAAAACAAUGGAAAGGAAAAUAUGAUUAUCAGAGUAAACAGAAAAAAGGAAAGGAAAAUGUGUUUAAACACAUAUUUCAAGGGUAUAUGCUUCCCAAGGACAAGCAGAGCAUGAUAUCCAUGAUAGGAUAUAAUGUAGAAAACCCUUUAGGUAAGAGGAGAGAAAUUUCAUGACAUUACCCAUACAACGGUGUUUGGAUAAUUGAGCAGGAAACAAUUAGCUUUGGGCUUCAAAUGUUCCUGUUGAAAAUCGGAGUACCAUAGACAUGCUUCGAGAUAGCAUUGACAUGAUCUUCAGGCAAAGGACAGACUCUAGAUACACAAAGGACUUAUUAGGAACAACUUAUAGAAUAAGUCUUACAAUUUCCUCGUGAAAGAAUGGAUAACCUUGCAAAAAAGGAAACUAUAACGAUAGGUCCGCCGCCCAGGUGUACCGGGCAUGACAUCACCUUACCGGGUCAUGUGAAGACCAAUGUUAUAACUCUUUGAAAUAUGUCCCUACCAUCAUAUCUGACCGAGAUCCAGAUCUGAUUGGUGUCUCGAUACCUCAGACUUAGGAUGCCUGAGAAGAAAAGGUGCGACACAAUUUGACGAGAUGACAUUGUAAGAUUCUCGGGAAAUGAACUAUGGAAGCGAGUUCUGAAACAAGAGUCCCUCAGUAAACCAAUGAGAGGAUGAGGAGGUGGCUGAUGGAAUCAGCGACAAUUCAUCGAGAUUAACAAAAGAUGGAUUUCCACAACUAUGUGAACAAGGAGAUAACAUUUGUCAGAUCAAAUGGUAUAAUGAUGUAUGCUCGAGGAAAACAUACACAAUUAAACAUUGGUUGAAAGGGGCACCCGAAAUAUGGGCUGGGUUGCACGACCAACGUCGGAAUGGAAAUUUAGCAACCAGCACACUACAUUGGAAUUAUUGUCCAUUAACUCUGAAGUAACAAGGUUGCUAGAGAUAUUAAAUUCUCAUAACAGAGUUCACUCAACACGGGGACCAAGAGAAGAAUGAUGAUGGUGAGAAGCAUCAUUGUAUCAAGAAUUUCUUAAGAGGUGGUGAAACUCUCACGACAUUCUUGACAUAAAAGAUGGUAAUACUCCAGUGUAAAGAAGAACAAUUGCUGGGUUGCAAGGAACUCAAGGUAUAACACAAAACAAGAACAAGUUUGUGUUGGAGGAAAGGUAGUAGAGUGGUCGAUGAUAAUACUAAUCAUCGAGGGCAAGGAUGGUCUUUCUCAUCAUGAAUUCCAUUGAUAUCCUGGAAGAGCUCAGAAUGUUGAUGAUGAUCACGACACAUUUGUCGAGAGAAUUCAUGAAGAUGUAAUCGAUUGGCGAUGACAUCAAGUCAAGGGAAUGAUGAAGCAAAAGGUUAUUGGAACCAGGGGUACGACACAAACUCGAAAUCAAGCUUGUUGUUCAAGGCUAAAUGAUAUGGCAAGGAAAAUCGACGUAAGCUUAGCUCAUCAUCGAAGUGGUGCUCCAAGAAUAAGGACCAGGUAGCACACAGUUGAAAAGUUGCACGAUAUUGAUAUAGUUGAUCAGGCUAAGAAUGACUUGAAGGAUUUUUAAACUCGUAAGCAACGAAAAUUACUUAGAGUUAUUGAAUCGGAGUGCGGAAUUGAUUCACAUAUCGGUGUUCUCGAGUGAAUUAACUCAGAACCCGGGGGAAAUCUGAAAUCAGUGAGAAGCAAUACUAGAUGAAGACUCAUUGGAAGCAACACAGUUCUUUGAUAUGCUCGAGAUAUUGGAGGGUAUUACUCGAAGGAAGAUCGACAUAGGGGUUGCGGAGAGGUAUUGAUCUGCAGAAGACAAGUGUUUUAACUUGUCUGAGAAAUAGUAUUUAAAGGAGAACAUGGUCGGAACCACGACUGCAAAGGGGCAAUUCACCGAUAUCAGAUGAUAUUAUAUCAAGGAAAUAGCUAUUAUUACAAGAAGCUUCCAUGAUAGGAUCUACAUCGUGUCCAUGGGCAUGAACACAAAGUUCAAGGUCGACUCCCACUUGUUCAACGCAUAACCUUUCAUUUACCUCUCGUAUUUCGAAAAUGACAUUAGUUGUUGAAAGUUUUUACCUGAUGCAAUACCAGAUAAGUAUGACCCAUGAAAUCUUUCGGGUUCACACGGAUUAGGGAAGGCGUAGGUUCAACCCAUCAAGGCAUCUUAGGAACAUAUACCACAAACUUCGGAGUAAAUAAUACAAGCUCGAAAGUAGAGCAUGGUUCACAAAGCAGAGGAUACAAUUUACCAAAGGCAUCAUGUAUCCGAGGAAAAGCUCACAAGCUUAUUUAAUAUGAAGGACAUUGUCAGAUAAAAUCCGACAAAAGGGUCUGGUGGUCCACAAGGGAUCUGAUGUGAGCAUCAGUACUCAACCAGAGGAAGAAAGAAUGCAAGGAGAUCAGAUUAUAGAAACAACUGACUAACUCAAAGCUCAAUGCAAAGGAAUUAUAAUUUCAAAUUCAAGGGAUCAGAAGCAAACGCUCUGAUUGAGGAUGGAUAAGUCGAGUAAACUUACAGGUACAAUCGAUGGCAAAUUUGAUUGGUCAAGAUCCAGCUCAUGUUUAAAAUGACGUCUGAGCCGGAAAGAUAAUUUCGAAGGGUCGAUCGAUGAUUGUGUGCAUUCGCACACAUGUUGAAUCAAUAGGAUCAAAAUGAUAGUGUCAAAAGAUACUAGUGAAUAUUGCUAGUGAUAUGGGAGCAUCCAUAAUGUAAGCAAGUAAGAAUUUCAAGAGCAAUAGGCUACUCAGGAUUUUCGGAAGUUCAAAUAGUAUUUUGAAGACUUUUGUGAAAUACAGGAAUCAACUGUGGAUGAGCGAAUACUCGAUAAGUGUGAGCAAUUAUCCGUAGGGGUAUUUAUGUGGUAAAGAACUGCAAGGCAGUAAGCUCAAAGGAUUCUCGGAACAACAGAGAGAAUUUCGGGGAAUCUUGUAAUAACCAGAUCAACUGGGAAACAUUGUAUGAAUGGCGAGUAUACGUGGUUAUCCAUAGGAGUUUAUCGAUGGAAGGGAAUUGCAAAAGCGAUGAACACAAGUUCUCGGGUUAACAGCGGAGAGUGUCUUCAGGGUCCUCACGUGCAGCAGACGAUCAUCAGUAAUAAGGGGCUCUCCGGGUGAAAGUGAUAACGAGAUCCUAAUGUUAGAAUUAGCAAAAUUCAUUUAACCCGAAUAGGAGAGAGAUCAGAUUCCCAGAGUAAAGGUCGAGGAGUAAAAGAUCCUAAUACCACCCAAUGGCGACGUGGGCCCGUAAGCUACACAGCCAUGUUAGUAAAACAGUUUUCACUGACUAGACUCAACUUUGGCCAAGGAGUUGGAAAGGGAGAUUCCUACAGGCAGUUGGCUCUGAUACCAACUUGUGACGCCCCCGAUUUGACCAUACACUAAUCAUGCACGCAAAUGUGUACGAUCAAGAUCAGGGACUCACGGGAAGAUAUCACAACACAACUCUACAACAUAAAAUAAGUCAUACAAGCAUCAUAAUACAAGCCAGGGGCCUCGAGGGCUCGAAUACAAGUGCUCGAUCAUAGACGAGGCAGCGGAAGCAACAAUAUCUGAGUACAUACAUAAGUUAAACAAGUUUGCCUUAAGAAGGCUAGCACAAAAGUAGCAACGAUCAAAAAGGCAAGGCCUCCUGCCUGGGACCUCCUAACUACUCCUCGAAGUCGAACUCCAUGCAGAAUCAUCCUCGGGAUCUCUAGCUCCUGGACUCCAGCACCUGGUUGCGACAACCAGGUAUAGAAAGGGGAAAAGAGGGAGAAAAGCAACCGUGAGUACUCAUCCAAAGUACUCGCAAGCAAGGAGCUACACUACAUAUGCAUGGGUAUAUGCGUAAAGGUCCAUAUCAGUGGACUCAACUGCAGAAUGCCAGAAUAAGAGGGGGAUAGCUAAUCCUGUCGAAGACUACGCUUCUGGCCACCUCCAUCUUGCAGCAUGUAGAAGAGAGUAGAUUCACCAAGUAGCAUCGCAUAGCAUAAUCCUACCCGGCGAUCCCCUCCUCGUCACCCUGUUAGAGAGCGAUCACCGGGUUAUAUCUGGCACUUGGAAGGGUGUGUUUUAUUAAGUAUCCAGUUCUAGUUGUCAUAAGGUCAAGGUACAACUCCGGGUUGUCCUUUUACCGAGGGACACGGCUAUUCAAAUAGAUAAACUUCCCUGCAGGGGUGCACCACAUAACCCAACACGCUCGAUCCCAUUUGGCCGGACACACUUUUGUGGGUCAUGCCCGGCCUCGGAAGAUCAACACGUCGCGGCUCCACCUAGGCUCAACAGAGAGGUCAGCACGCCGGUCUAAAUCCUAUGCGCACAGGGGUCUGGGCCCAUCGCCCAUUGCACACCUGCACGUUGCGAGGGCGGCCGGAAGCAGACCUAGCCUAGCAGGCGUUCCAGUCCAAUCCAGCGCGCGCCGCUCCGUCGCUGACGUCAAGAAGAGCUUCGGCUGAUACCACGACGUCGAGUGCCCAUAACUGUUCCCGCGUAGCUGGUUAGUGUGUAUAGACCAAAUGGCCAGACUCAGAUCAAAUACCAAUAUCUCGUUGAGCGUGUUAAGUAUCUACGAACGCCGACCAUGGCCAGGCCCACCUCUCUCCUAGGUGGUCUCAACCUGCCCUGUCGCUCCGCCACAAAGUAACAGUCGGGGCCGUCAGGAACCCAGGCCCACCUCUACCGGGGUGGAGCCACCUGUCCUUUCAGCCCCCUCAUCAGAAUCACUUGCGGGUACUCCUCGAGCCGACCCGACUUUAGUCACCACAUGUGUCAUGUAUAUAAUGUAUAUAGUAUAUACCCGUGAUCACCUUCCGAAGUGAUCACGGCCCAGUAGUAUAGCAUGGCAGACGGACAAGAGUGUAGGGCCACUGAUGGAACGCAGCCUGAUGAAGAACUCGCGGGGCUGGUCUCCAACAUGGCCUUACAUCGAAAAAGGCAUCAUUGGCGGGGGCGAAGCCGGCGCGCCGCCCCGUCCUCCUCUUCCCCGAGCACCACGACCUCUGUCCCGGCCUCUCCCACGGCCUCGGCCCCUCCCCCUUCCCCUCGCGGCCGGCUCCACCACCACGGGCUCAGGAGGAGGAGGGACGCGCUGUCGAGCGGCGACCCUCGCCGCCACCGUCGAGGGACCGGGAUUCCCUUUCUCCAUGGCGAGUGAAAGGAAGAAGCAGAAGCAGGAGGAGAUAGAUGACAGAAGAGUGUGGGGUGCCAUCCCCCUUCCCCCCCUCUUAUAAAGGGGUGGGGUGAGGGCUCGGCCGCCCCGCUCGACCAAUCCAGCCACCAGAGGCGCAGGGAAUCGAGGCCGACCCGCUGCCCCAAUCAGCGACGACCCGAUUUCCCGCCUCCACCGCUUGCCACCCCAAGCGCAUGGAGGACACGUGGCGAACGUGCAGAAUCGAGGGGACGGGUGGAGUGACCUCUCCCCACCCCGUGAUCGUGGGGUGUGGACGCCUUGAAGACCGCGACCCGGCCCCGCGCAGUAAAUGAGCCGCGCCUCCACGCCUCCCUCUUUUUACGGGGAAGGCACGGGCCGCCUCUUUACCACGAUAUGACGCAUGCAUGCGGAAACUGCCCCACGCAUGCCGCCCAUGUAACGCGCACCCCUCCACGCCGCGCAGCGCGCGAAAAGUUUUACCGCGGUGAAAACCGCCCCGCCUGCCCGCGCACCGUUUUGGGCCUGGCCCAACAACGUGUCGCGCUUAUGUGUGGCCCAGGCCCGGGGGCUCCUGUCGGUGUACAAAAGAAGGGGCGCACCUUUGUACCCCUUUACCUGUGCACAGGCAGUCGGAGCCGUGCCCACGGUCACACCAAGCAGAACAAGGGAGGUGAACCGAGGUAAAACCGAAGCCCAAGACGACCAGAGCAACGCCAAGACCAAGGACGCAAAGAAGCAGAGGGGUGGAGCAGUUUCCCCCGGCAAGACCCUUGCCGGGGACGGCCUCAGCAGCCCCGGCAAGACCCUUGCCGGGGCAGCCGCCCAAACACCAACAGAGCGAGCCACCCUUGAGCCCACGUCCCCAACACCAUCAACCACGUUGGGCCAGGGCUCGGGAGGCACCUCUGUGGUGGCAUGCAGAUCUUUGUGAACACAAGGAAUAUUCAAGAUCAGAUGAGGAUUAGGAGACUGCGAUCCUUGGCAAGAUCCUUGCCGAGGGGAACCACAAGACCCCCGGCAAGAUCCUUGCCGGGGACGACAGCGCGCCACGGCAAGGCCCUUGCCGGGCCACCCGGCAAGGCCUUCGCCAAGGGUGCCAGCAGGGCCACUGCCAGGCCCGCACCAACCAAGUUUCCACCGCCGUUCGCAUGCAGAGCCCAACCAGCUGAGCAGGCACCUGCGUGGCAACAUGCAGCUCCCAGGCCAACUCAUCAGGCGCCUGCAUGGCGGCAUGCAGAUCUUCGUAGAGGCUCCACCACCGCGCCACCUCAGCUGCCUGCCUGCCUACAUGGCGCCGCACGCAUUACUGGCCGGGGCGCGUGUCGAAGCGAGGAGGAGCGGCGACGAACGGGACGGACCUCGCCCCCGUCCCCGAUAAAGCUAGGGGACACCUCAGCGGCGCAUUAAAUGCGUCUUGUCCUGUAAUACGAGCGAUAAGCUCGCAAUACUGUACGCCUUUCCACCUCCUGUAUGCCACUGUGGCAGCCCCUUUCGACUAUAAAAGGAGGCCCAUGGCAUACUGAAGAAGGAUUCGGCUCUUUGGGACCACGCACCCCACCAUAGCUAGUUCGAGAGCUUAAGAACUCUUUGAAAUACAUCCACUAAAGCAGGACUAGAGUUUUACGCACCCUCACGGCCCGAACCUGGGUAAACGAUCCGUGUACUGAUUACUAAUCCUGUUCUUCUCGCAACCCUGCGCCCCGGCAACCGUAGUAGGGAUUUUUGUGAUCCCAUAGAUGUCGUUCCACACCGACUUUAAGUUCUUUGACAAGAAUGUAAACGAAACCAAAGGAAAAUAAACGAUUUACAAAGUUGCACACCGGAAUUUAUGUCAGUUCAUGUACAAGUGUGUCACUUUCUCUGAUUCUCUCCGUAAAAGAGAAUAUGCACAUGUCCAUCCUUGGUCGCACUUAUCACGCCUCUCUCUCCUCCCGCUUCUUCCUCCACACUCCCAUUUCAGCGGGGAGACGAGAAAACAGAGAGGGCGCGCGCGAAAAAGACUUCGCUGGCCCUCUAGGUGUCUCCAGAUCACGCCCAAAUUCGUGGCUCGUCCAGCCGCGAAUUUGGUGGUGCCCUACUUUUAUUGGUGCAUUUUCCUAGACUUGUUCUUUCUGUGAUUCCUCUUAAUCCCUCCCGUGUUCUUGCGGCUGAUUUCUUGACGGAUUGAAGCGUCAGCGGAUUUCUCCGGCUGCGUCUCCGGAUUUCCUCGAUCUGGGGGCAAUGCGGCUGCGCAUUCGGUUCUCUGCCUCGGAAGCCCCCCAAAUCCCCCGCCAUUGGUGAUUAUUUCUGAGCUUCCUCGCCUUAAAAUCGGCGCGUUUCUCGGAGCACCUCGAGGCAUCUGAUUUCAGAAGGUCAUCGCCGCGAUUUUACGCGAACUUGGGCGGGGCAUUGUUCUGAGUUCUUUUUUUUUGUCAAAACAUUUGUGCCGCGUCACUGGAUUUCGUCGGCCACUUGCUUCAGGGAGCUCACGGAUUUGUUGUCCGUCGCCACAAACCUCCCGCCGGUAAGCCGGGGGAAUCACAUUGCGAUGGUAGAGUCGGUGUAGGCAGGAGCAGGCAAAAGAUGAGGCGCUGCAGGGGAGAAUGGCUCCCCGCGCCGUGCAUCAUCUCCGUGCUGCUCUUCCUACCAAUGGCCUGCGGACGAUUGCUCAUUGGCCCAAGCGACACGUCGCCGCCACCUGCGCUGACACCAACCUUCAUCAAGCAAGUUGACGAUUGGGUGAGUAAAUUUUCUAUGUAUUUCAUCGCACUCGGUAGUAACAUCUGUACUGAGAUGGUGUCAUUCCAUAGUUUGUGAUCAAGACCAAAGUAGUUUAGUUUUGGUCAUCUUAAGAAGUGAGAAUUAACUUAUUAAGUACUCCCUCUGUAAACAAAUAUAAGAGCGUCCGAUAUUUCUUUACAGAGGGAGUAUCAAUCCUUUUGUUAGAGAAAAAACCGGUUCAGGAAGGCAGGAAUUGCCACCAUCGAGACCAUACAAUGACAGAAUUGCAAGGAUUGCCCGGCUAUAUUUCUGAUAUGGUGUUUAGGUUGGUGCCCUCGCUCUAUCAACACAUAUGGUCCACAUGUAUGAGCUCAUGAUGCCGGCAUUCAGAAUUGUCAUGUGGUGCUCUUCGAAUUACCUGUGACAGAAUAGAUAAGAUCACUGAAUUUCUAGUGGUUCCCAGAGGCCAAAGCUGUUUAUGAUUUUACUGCAUUGAAAAUACUGACUACAGAUUAAAACCCUGCAAGCAGAAGCAGAGAUUUUGAAACAAAUUAUUAACGUUCCCUCCUGUUAGGUACACAUUACUCCUUAUUUAAUGAGUAGCAUGUGUCGGAUUAACUAUGUUAUUAUUGGUAUGAUGCAUGUAGACUUAUUUUUUCCUUAAGUAAGGAAUGUGAUGAUAAUAUGAUAUUGUUCGCAAAUAUAAGAUGUUCUAACUUUUUUCCUAAUCGGAUGUAUAUAGACAUGUUUUAGUGUGUUUGUUCACUAAUUUCAGUCUGUAUGUAGUCCAUUUUGAAAUAUCCAAAAUAUCUUAUAUUUGUAAACAGAGGGAAUAGUCUCUAACUGCUGACUCUCACUGGUACUUCAUGGUAGUUUAUAUUUUUAAUGGUCUGGUUUAUCAUAUUAUUAUUCUGAAAAGGAUGCACACCCAGUUUAUCUCAUCAGCAUCUGUUAUUGAUUAAUUUUCACGUACUGACAAGGGUGACCACUCGUUAUGAUAUCUAUAGGUGGAACACGCGUGGCUCAAAUGUGGAUUGGACAAGAAAAGCCUUCAAGAUGUUAGAAACUACUACGACUACAACCAUGUACUUGAUAUCAUCCAUAGGAUAUCUGAUAAUAAGGGAACUUCCCCUGUCAUUGGAAAAGGUGCAGGCCCACUGACACCAGAUAUCAAGCAAACUUUGCUGACCUGCUUAAGCAAACAGAAUUUUGAGGUUCCAAAAAACCUACCCGAUGGUUAUAUCGAAACACUUAUCGCCUCAAUAAGAGAAGAGCUGACUCCGGGACCUGCUCCUGCAAAUGAAGCAGUAAAACCUCCGCCAGGGAAACCAGCUGACGGUUCUUCAUCAGAAGCAACUACAAAAAAGGCAGUGCCUGCAACUAAAUCAGUGGGGAAAAAAGACAGCGAUGGCAUGCCAACUACCACUAUCGUUGGUGUGUCCCUGGUUGUUAUCGCACUUUUAGCUCUUCUCUGCGUUGGCUGCUGCAUGUUCCGUGAAAGUUCUGCGGCUUCUGCCUAUGAUAAUAAGCAACUCCUGAAUCUAUGUAAUGUCUUGUAUCAUCCAUUUUGCUCCAAGUCAACGUUUUUCUUUCUUCUACCACUGACUUUUAUGCUUUCAUUUGCAGCGGAUUCUUGCAAGUCUUCCAGUGUAAAUCUAAUAGAUGUCACUAAGCUGGGAGCAUUGCCAUUGCAGUCAGAGGCUGGCCAAAAUGGCCAUGUGAAUCAAAGUUCACAGGAAGGCCCAAACACUGAUCAAGUUGGCUAUGUGAGACUAAGUUCACAGGAAGGCCCAAACACUGAUCAAAAUAACCAUGUGAAACUAAGCUCACAGGAAGACGCAAACACUGAUCAAAUUAGCUAUGUGAAACUAAGCUCACAGGAAGACCCAACCAGUGGUCGAAAUAGUGAUGUGAAGCUAACUUCGCAGGAAGACCCAAACACUGGCCAAAAUAACCAUGUGAAGCUCACUUCACAGGAAAGUGCAAACACUGAUCCAGCAAUCUACAGCAGUUCCGCCGAGCCAAUGGCUGCUUCUGUUGAUUCUGAGCAAGGAUCAACACCAAUGCCUCAACCAAUGAUGCCACCUCCAGCACAUCCUCAAGUACUUGCGCCUCAACCAAAGGCUCCUCCUUCACCACCAGCUCCUCAAGCACUUGAGCUGCCUCCGAAUGCUUCUCCAGUUCUUUCCUCUGGACCUUCACCGCCACCAGCUCCAAAAGCCUCCCCGCCUCCGCCCUCAGGACCCUCACCACCUACUGCUCCAAAAGCUGCACCACCACCACCACCACCAUCAAAAUCUGGUGGACCUCUCCCGCCACCACCAGCGCUGCCUGGUUCUUCCAAAACGCGCCCACCACCACUUAUGAAGUCAGGCAAUAAAACAGACACAGAUGAGGAUUCUAGUGAAGCUAAAACAAAGCUUAAGCCCUUCUUUUGGGAUAAAGUAGCAACAAAUGCUAAUAAAUCAAUGGUGUGGGAUCACCUUAAAGCUGGAUCAUUCCAGUAAGUUGGUAGAGAUAGCUGAGCUAUAUAUCUAGUUAUCUACUAUUGUAAGAUCGCACCAUUUUAUAACUAAUGGUACUUCUUCACAGGUUAAGUGAGGACGCUAUUGAAACACUUUUUGGUUGUAAUGCUGACAAGAAGAGUGGUGAUGCCAAAAAAGAUAUAGCAUCAAAGGAAGCUGCCCAAGUUGUGAGGAUACUUGAUCCUAAAAAGGCACAGAACCUGGCCAUAUCAUUGAAGGCGUUGAGUGUUUCAGCAGAGGAAGUUUCUUGUGCAGUUAAGGAAGGUAAAGUGUAUUGUCACUCGUUUAUACUGUGCAAGUGCAUAGCUCUUCCUGGAUGAAAUGCGGCUUCUUCUGAUUCUUGCCAGUCUUGUAGAUACAGUUAUUUUAUUAUAUUUUUGGGCAAAGCUCCAGUUUUUUUUUAAGUUGCAGUGGUACAUCGAAUACUUAUCCAGCUUCUGGUCUAUAACUCCAUGCAAUAAUAUAUCAGCUGCGUAUAUCAUUUGUGUCUUCACAAUCAGGAGUUACGGCUAUUCUUCUGUGCUAAGGACAAUGAAUCACUUGAUUUCAUUUGUUUCUUCUAUUUUUCAAAGCAAAUAGUACACAUUUCUGCUAAACUGAUGUGAGUCUUGUCUUCUAGGUUAACUCUAAUUCUUGAACUAAUAACAAAGUCAGCAAGAUUAUGUAGCACGCAAGUGAUGUCAAAUGCUCAAAUCGGCAUUUGGUUCUAGACUUAACCACAUUUGUGUACAUCUGGCCUCCAUAUUUUGGAAUGGACGCCUCAAGCAUGGGUUCAUGUGCUUCUGACUAUUCUAUUUGGACAUUUAGAACAAAGAACAUGUUGAUUAAAUCCUAUUUCCUGAUAACAUCUUUUGCCUUAUCAAUUUCCCUCGAUAAUUUGUAGGAAAUGAACUUCCAUCCGACUUGAUACAGACCUUAAUUAGAUGGGUCCCGAGUACUGAUGAGGAGCUCAGGCUUCGACUAUAUACUGGGGAACUCUCACAGCUUGGUCCUGCAGAGCAGUUCUUAAAAGCAAUCUUCGACAUUCCUUAUAUCUAUGAGCGCCUGGACGCAUUACUUUUCAUGGCUGGUUUACCAGAGGAAACUUCAAAUGUAAAGCAAUCUUUUGCCACCUUAGAGGUAAUAGCAUUACCAUUAUGACCUAUUUGGCUUCCACACUAUAUUCAGUUCUGUUGUAUGACUUGUAUCAGUCUUGUUUGAUGCUCUGUAGUCCUUUAACCGAUGAACAUUUUUAUCAAGUAAUAAUAGAGAUUAUCGUAGUGUAGAUGUUACCACUCUUCCUGCACCUUGAUGUUUCUACCGAUCUUCUUAUCUCUGCUAUCUUGGCAUUUAAAUCCUGAUCAGAUGGCUUGUGAGGAGCUUAAAAACAGCCGUCUAUUCUUGAAGUUACUAGAAGCUGUACUUAAAACAGGGAAUCGGAUGAAUGUUGGCACGUUCAGAGGAGGAGCUCAAGCGUUCAAACUAGACACCCUGCUCAAGCUUUCCGACGUCAAAGGAACUGAUGGGAAGAUAACGCUGCUGCAUUUUGUUGUUCAAGAGAUGAUCCAUUCUGAAGGUGUCCGUUCUGCACGGGCUGCAAAGGAGCAGACGGGCAGCGUAUCCAGUGUGGACAACAAUGAUCUUAUUGAAGAGGAAUAUAAACAACUAGGUCUGCAGGCUGUGUCCAGUUUAGGAGAUGAACUUCAAAAUGUCAGGAAUGCAGCAAUCCUUGAUGCAGAUCAGUUGGCUAUGUCGGUAGCAAGUGUCGUCCACAGGCUUGGCAAAACCAAAGAAUUCUUGAACACAAGCAUGAAAAGUCUGGAUGAAGAUAGUGGGUUUCACCGCAAGCUUGUGCAUUUCGUGGAGCAGUCUCAAACUGAUGUUACUUUCUUGCUAGAGGAAGAGAAGAAAAUACGGUCCUUGGUAAAGAGCACUGUCGAUUAUUUCCAUGGGAGGACAGGGAAGGAUGAGGGCCUUCGGUUAUUUGUCGUAGUGCGGGAUUUUCUCGCAAUGCUUGACAAGGUCUGCAAUGAGGUGAAAGAAGCAUCAAAAGUAACUCCAAAGAAAACGAAGACUGAAGUUACUCUGCCUUCCCACACACCCAGGUCUUUUCAAGAUCCCCGGCGUAGUUCCCACACACCCAGGUCUUCUCAAGAUCCCCGGCAUAACCUUUUUCCGGCAAUUCAAAACCGGAGGGCAGAUAGUUCAAGCUCUAGUUCUGAGGAGGGAAGUUAACUCUAAACGAAGGUACUCUGCCUACCUUUUCCUUCCAGCGCUUGGAGGUUUGCCCUUUGAAAACAUUAGUAAGAAGAGAUGGAAAACCGGAGCUAAAGAAAAAGCAAGAGAUGGAAAUUGACGAUAAAGCGAACUCUGGCUUUGGUCACUUGUUGCAGCAACAGAAUAAAAUUGCUGAAGGAAGGCAUUCAUCUUCCAUAACGUCCUUGACAGGCAAUUGUUGCACUUUGGCUCCUAUCAAACAAGCAAAGGUGAUAUUCACGAUCAAGAUGGAGAAGUCGCAACGGAAGCCGUCGAAAGGGGCGGCGAAGAAAACUGACCCCUUAGUUAGGGCGGGCGUGCAGAACAGGGAGGGAGGAAGAAGCAGCAGGCUGGCUGACUGACUGUGACACUGCCUGCUGUUUUUUCGCUUAGGAUUUGUACCAUCACAGAAAGGAGAGGAAUAAAUAUAGUAUUCUUUUAGGGGAAUAAAUGCAGCAUUAGAAAGAAAGAGAUGCACCACACAGGCUCAUAAACAUGAUAAUACCUUUGCAAAGAGCAAAGCUGUAAAUUGUCAUCCUUUCAACUGAAACAUCCUGUGUGUUCGCGUCAUGUGAUUAUAUACUCUGGGCGACUUGGUGUGCCUUUUGCAAUGUGGCGUGAGACCUAGUACCAGAUUCGUGCUGCUGUGCUGUGGUCGAUCUGUACCUACCGUUUCUGCACCGUCUGGAUAGUCAGGGCACUCAAAACAAUGUGCAGCGCUGCUAUAUUAGGAGUGAUAAUUGUUUCGUCUCCCGUGCCAUUUCUUUACAGAAUCCUUUUUUAUCCCAGGUAUUACUAGAUCGCAAGUAUUUCCCGCCAAAUGUCUUGCUCGUGAAAAACAUCGCCACACAUAGUCCACUACUCCCCGCCAAAAUUCCAUUAUCCCUGACUCGAGCCGUAGCACACCUACGUAUUGUAAAGACGAGAGCAUCCUUAGUCUAACAGCUUCGCAGAUUAAUUUUAGUAAGGAUUUCGCAGUUAUAUCGAGUUCUCUAACCAUGAAAGAAUUGGGCAAGAAUAGACGAUGGAAAUUUUCGACCAAGAACAGAGUGGUAGAAAUUGGCAAGUAAGCAAUCCAUAGGUGCAACUUUUAUAUAACGUACUAACAACGAAUUACAAAGGAUGCAACCAUUGUCCACGGCUAGUUUAGCACCGGUACAAGCACACAGAUUCAGAAACUAAUAGCAGUACUACCAUCCUAGAAGUAAAACGCAACACCUAGGCAACAUUUAACUGAACACGCUACUACACAGAACUGGAUACAGCCGAGCACCCACGACCACCGAGGAGGAGUCGUCAUCUAG
rnacentral:lncRNA from 1 species